rfam:Triticum aestivum genome assembly, contig: Triticum_aestivum_CS42_TGACv1_scaffold_621860_7DS
GUGAUACCUUCUCCGUCCGAAAAUACUUGUUCUAGAAAUGAAUAAAACGGAUGUAUCUAUAAUUAAAAUAAAUCUAGAUAUAACCAUUUUUAAGAUAAGUAUUUUCGGACGUAGAGAGUAGGUG